UGGGGAAUAUUGCACAAUGGGCGCAAGCCUGAUGCAGCCAUGCCGCGUGUGUGAAGAAGGCCUUCGGGUUGUAAAGCACUUUCAGCGAGGAGGAAGGUGGUGAGCUUAAUACGCUCAUCAAUUGACGUUACUCGCAGAAGGAGCACCGGCUAACUCCGUGCCAGCAGCCGCGGUAAUACGGAGGGUGCAAGCGUUAAUCGGAAUUACUGGGCGUAAAGCGCACGCAGGCGGUUUGUUAAGUCAGAUGUGAAAUCCCCGGGCUCAACCUGGGAACUGCAUUUGAAACUGGCAAGCUAGAGUCUCGUAGCAGCCUGGAUGAUGAUCCAGGUGGUAGCAGUGCAAUGCGUAGAGAUCUGGAGGAAUACCGGUGGCGAAGGCGGCCCCCCUGGACGAAGACUGACGCUCAGGUGCGAAAGCGUGGGGCAGCAAACAGGAUUAGAUACCCUGGUAGUCCAGCGUUGUAAACGAUGUCGAUUUGGAGGUUGUGCCCUUGAGGCGUGGCUUCCGGAGCUAACGCGUUAAAUCGACCGCCUGGGGAGUACGGCCGCAAGGUUAAAACUCAAAGGAAUUGACGGGGUCAUAGCUGUUUCCU
rnacentral:rRNA from 1 species